UACGAAGGGGGCUAGCGUUGUUCGGAAUCACUGGGCGUAAAGGGCGCGUAGGCGGCUUUGUAAGUCGGGGGUGAAAGCCUGUGGCUCAACCACAGAAUUGCCUUCGAUACUGCAUGGCUUGAGACCGGAAGAGGUAAGUGGAACUGCGAGUGUAGAGGUGAAAUUCGUAGAUAUUCGCAAGAACGCCAGUGGCGAAGGCGGCUUACUGGUCCGGUUCUGACGCUGAGGCGCGAAAGCGUGGGGAGCAAACAGG
rnacentral:rRNA from 1 species